CUAGACCUCGGAUCAGGCCAGGCUACCCGCUGAAUUUAAGCAUAUCAAUAAGCGGAGGAAAAGAAACUAACAAGGAUUCCCUUAGUAACGGCGAGCGAAGCGGGAAUAGCUCAAAUUUGAAAUCUCCAGUGCUUGCACUGGCGAAUUGUAGUCUGUAGGGCCAGUUUCGCCCGACGCGGCGUCCCCAAAGUCGUCCUGGAAAGGCGGGCCAGAGAGGGUGAGAGCCCCGUGUGCGGGGGCACUGCGGAAGGUAAGAUCUGUGCCCGAAGAGUCGGGUUGUUUGGGAUUGCAGCCCAAAAUGGGUGGUAAACUCCAUCUAAAGCUAAAU
rnacentral:rRNA from 1 species